GGAACCGCGGCAGGCGGGCGGCAAGCAGGCCCGGGGCCCGGGAGGCUGCGGGCGGCGGCGCUGGGCCCGGUGCGGCGAGAGAGGCCCCAAGAUGCCGAGCAAGAAGAAGAAGUACAACGCGCGGUUCCCGCCGGCGCGGAUCAAGAAGAUCAUGCAGACGGAUGAAGAGAUUGGAAAGGUGGCGGCAGCUGUACCUGUCAUCAUCUCUCGGGCGCUCGAGCUCUUCCUGGAGUCGUUGUUAAAGAAGGCCUGCCAGGUGACUCAGUCCCGAAACGCCAAGACCAUGACCACAUCCCACCUAAAGCAGUGCAUUGAGCUGGAGCAGCAGUUUGAUUUCUUGAAGGACCUGGUGGCAUCUGUGCCUGACAUGCAGGGAGAUGGGGAAGACAACCACAUGGAUGGGGACAAGGGUGCUCGCAGGGGCCGGAAGCCAGGCAGCAGCAGCAGGAAGAAUGGUGGGAUGGGAAGCAAAGGGAAGGACAAGAAGCUAUCAGGGACAGACUCGGAGCAGGAGGAUGAUUCUGAGGAUACAGACACUGAUGGGGAAGAGGAGACACCACAGCCCCCACCCCAGGCUAGCCACCCCCCUGCUCACUUUCAGAGCCCUCCAACACCCUUCCUGCCCUUCGCCUCCAGUCUGCCUUUGCCCCCAGCACCCCCAGGCCCCUCGGCACCUGAUCCAGAGGAUGAAGAGGAUUAUGACUCCUAGCACCCUUCCCCACCCUGUGGCAGAAACACAAGCCUUCAGAGAGGGAGGGGCUGCAGAGGCAGGAGGUGGAGAAUUGAUGGGGUGAGGUGCUGCACCUAAGGUGGAUCCCAGCCUGCUGAGGCACAGGGCGGUGAGUGGGUUUUGGGGGGAGGAUUGAGAUCUUCACGGUUUUUAUUUGAUGGUGUCUGACUUCUUUCUGAAGUGGGAGGCAGGUCUCACUUGAAUGGAGGGGUCAAAGAGGGAGCAGGUUGGUUAAAACUGUAGUUGAGCCCAAGGGAGGGUCACUGACUUGAGGUGUGGGGUGGGUUGGUGGCAUGGACAGCUAGGGACUUGGAGACUAGGGAGAUGGAGAGGGGCUUCUGUGGGCCCUUUCUGCCUCUGUGAUGCUCCCUGUGGUAGCUGUGCUUCUGUUUCCUUACCGGAACCUUCUCUCUUCUACUUGGAACCUGUGGUUUGUGCUACUGAGCCUAUUCCCUGGGGUUGAGGGGAGCAGUGUGCCAGCCUGGCCGGUCACAGUGUCUGCCACCCAUGCUCCAGCCACAGUGAUUGGCACAGGGGGUGAUCCUGCCUGAGAUGGAAGCUGUGCAGGGAGCAGGGCCAGGAGGCCCGAGAAAGAUACCUGAUGCCAUCUGGACACCUGGGACCAGGCUGGCCUGAGGCCUGUGCACCUUGGACUUCCAGUCACAUGAACCAAUAAACAUUUCCCUUCCU